UACCAGACUCCUACGGGAGGCAGCAGUCGGGAAUAUUGCGCAAUGGAGGAAACUCUGACGCAGUGACGCCGCGUAUAGGAAGAAGGUUUUCGGAUUGUAAACUAUUGUCGUUAGGGAAGAUAAAAGACUGUACCUAAGGAGGAAGCCCCGGCUAACUAUGUGCCAGCAGCCGCGGUAAUACAUAGGGGGCAAGCGUUAUCCGGAUUUACUGGGUGUAAAGGGCGUGUAGGCGGGAAAGCAAGUCAGAUGUGAAAACCAUGGGCUCAACCUGUGGCCUGCAUUUGAAACUGUUUUUCUUGAGUACUGGAGAGGCAGACGGAAUUCCUAGUGUAGCGGUGAAAUGCGUAGAUAUUAGGAGGAACACCAGUGGCGAAGGCGGUCUGCUGGACAGCAACUGACGCUGAGGCGCGAAAGCGUGGGGAGCAAACAGGAUUAGAUACCCCGGUAA
rnacentral:rRNA from 1 species